GAUGAACGCUGGCGGCGUGCCUAAUACAUGCAAGUCGAGCGAACAGACGAGGAGCUUGCUCCUCUGACGUUAGCGGCGGACGGGUGAGUAACACGUGGAUGACCUACCUAUAAGACUGGGAUAACUUCGGGAAACCGGAGCUAAUACCGGAUAAUAUAUUGAACCGCAUGGUUCAAUAGUGAAAGACGGUUUUGCUGUCACUUAUAGAUGGAUCCGCGCCGCAUUAGCUAGUUGGUAAGGUAACGGCUUACCAAGGCAACGAUGCGUAGCCGACCUGAGAGGGUGAUCGGCCACACUGGAACUGAGACACGGUCCAGACUCCUACGGGAGGCAGCAGUAGGGAAUCUUCCGCAAUGGGCGAAAGCCUGACGGAGCAACGCCGCGUGAGUGAUGAAGGUCUUCGGAUCGUGAAACUCUGUUAUUAGGGAAGAACAAAUGUGUAAGUAACUAUGCACGUCUUGACGGUACCUAAUCAGAAAGCCACGGCUAACUACGUG
rnacentral:rRNA from 1 species